rnacentral:rRNA from 1 species
UACGGAGGGAGCUAGCGUUGUUCGGAAUUACUGGGCGUAAAGCGCACGUAGGCGGCUUUGCAAGUUAGAGGUGAAAGCCCGGGGCUCAACUCCGGAAUUGCCUUUAAAACUGCAUCGCUAGAGUUGUGGAGAGGUAAGUGGAAUUCCGAGUGUAGAGGUGAAAUUCGUAGAUAUUCGGAAGAACACCAGUGGCGAAGGCGGUUAGCUGGGCAGUUGCUGACACUGAGGCGCGACAGCGUGGGGAGCAAACAGG